rnacentral:rRNA from 1 species
GGCGCACGCCUGAUCCAGCCAUGCCGCGUGCGGGAAGAAGGCCUUCGGGUUGUAAACCGCUUUUGUCAGGGAAGAAACGCGCUGGGUUAAUACCUCGGCGUAAUGACGGUACCUGAAGAAUAAGCACCGGCUAACUACGUGCCAGCAGCCGCGGUAAUACGUAGGGUGCAAGCGUUAAUCGGAAUUACUGGGCGUAAAGCGUGCGCAGGCGGUUGUGUAAGACAGAUGUGAAAUCCCCGGGCUCAACCUGGGAACUGCAUUUGUGACUGCACGGCUAGAGUGCGGCAGAGGGGGAUGGAAUUCCGCGUGUAGCAGUGAAAUGCGUAGAUAUGCGGAGGAACACCGAUGGCGAAGGCAAUCCCCUGGGCCUGCACUGACGCUCAUGCACGAAAGCGUGGGGAGCAAACAGGAUUAGAUACCCUGGUAGUCCACGCCCUAAACGAUGUCAACUGGUUGUUGGACGGCUUGCUGUUCAGUAACGAAGCUAACGCGUGAAGUUGACCGCCUGGGGAGUACGGCCGCAAGGUUGAAACUCAAAGA